GCUUAUCUGUCCACUAGCAGUGUAAUAUAACCAAGAAAACGACUUACAAAGCUGACUGACACACUGUCAAACCAGAGUUAUCAGGCAGGAUAGUAAUGGCCUUGUGGUGACAAGCCUAAUUGCUUUACCUGUGCCAAAUUUAACUUGAAGCCAACUGUGAGCAUGCUCAUGACACCAAGCUUAAGGUUGAUGAAACUACAAACAACAUCAGGGUGUGCAAUAGAACAUUAAUUGGUUAUACAAGGACAAUAUGGAUAAUCAUCUUCCAGAACAAUACCAUUUGAGGCACUGCAGAACCACAUCCAAGCCCUUGAAAAUUCCAGCCUAACCUGACAUUACCUAUAACACAUGAAAUAUGUCAAAUCACAAAUGGACCUGGUUGUACAUCAUUCAUGAUGCAGCAUGACCAUCACUUGGGCCUGCAGCAAACCCUACCAGUAAGGGAACCAACCAAACAUGACAUUAACUGUAGCAAUUCAUCAUAGUCUUGCAUCCUGCAAUUAGGAAAUCAACUGCAAUAUUGAGGCUAAACUCUACCAAACCAACAGGUGGAAGAAGUGGUCAAGUGUGUUUGCAGUUGGGCUAGAUACCAUUGGUAUCUGUAGCAUUCAGCAGGAACCAAUCCUGCACCAAAUCCAAAACCUGUUGUGAAAAGACCAUCCUUUGCAUCCAUAGAGCAUUCCGAGACAUGGCAUGAAUUAGCUGUGCAAACCAAAACCAACACAACCAACAUCAGACCUAGUAACUAGCAGACCUUCAAAAACCAGUUCAUCCUGCAUUGAAGCCAAUUACAACAAAACAGUAGUGAUACCUAGAUGUCACAUACCUAACUUGGUCAAUGCAACUCAAAAUCCAUUAGCAAUAUCUGACCAUUCACCUUGCCCAAUGUAACAUGACAAGGCUAAAUGUUACAACCAAUGAGACCAACCCCAAUCAACUAACCGAACACCAGCUGCUACUUGACAUCACAAGCAGGAAAUGCAGAGGAAUAAAAGAUGGUACAUGAGUUCCGUGUUACCCAUAAUCCAGUUGAACAACAAAUAAAAUUAAAAUACCACCUGCAACAUUAAAAUACCACCAAAACCCUAUGUUUCUUGC
rnacentral:lncRNA from 1 species